CAAAGUUCUUGACAAUUCUCGUGCAAUUUAAGAUGCAAAAAUAAUUUGCAAGAAAGUUCAUAUGAAGAUAUAAAUGACGGCUGCAAUUAUGUCGAUAUUUAUAUUUCAUCAAUUUUUGACAUGAACAUUGCAAAUUACUGGCAUGUGAAUUUGCUGUACAAAAUCCUCUGUAAUCUCCGGCAUGUAAAUAUUUCGCAAUAUUUGCUCUUGAUCUAUAAAUAUUUGCAAGGCAUCUUAAUAUUUGUAGGAAAGUUUACAUUUUUGCGUCAUUUGUUUGAAAUAUUUGCAAAUCUUCUUUCUUGUAUCUGCAUUCUGCAAAGGCGUUCAAAUAUUUGCAAUACUUGUUUUCUGGCAUC